rnacentral:tRNA from 1 species
GGUGCUGUAGCUCAGUGGCAGAGCGCUUGCCUCUCAUGCUUGCGGCACUGGGUUCCAUCCUCAGCACCA